rnacentral:rRNA from 1 species
ACGUAGGAGGCGAGCGUUAUCCGGAUUCACUGGGCGUAAAGCGCGUGCAGGCGGUUCGGUAAGUUGGGCGUGAAAUCUCCCGGCUCAACUGGGAGAGGUCGUUCGAGACUGUCGGACUAGAGGCAGGUAGAGGCAAGUGGAAUUCCGGGUGUAGUGGUGAAAUGCGUAGAGAUCCGGAGGAACCCCGGUGGCGAAGGCGACUUGCUGGGCCUGAACUGACGCUCAGACGCGAAAGCAUGGGGAGCGAACGG